rnacentral:misc_RNA from 1 species
AAGUCGUAACAAGGUUUCCGUAGGUGAACCUGCGGAAGGAUCAUUACAAGCACACACUCCCGGCCAGUUUUUUGACCGAGGGUGUUUAGUAAAAAAGGGGUAAGGGAAGGGAAAAAAAAAAGGGAGUACUUCCACUUGCGCAGUGAUUGGGGGGGGAGGUUAAAUCUCGACGACAGAUUUUUCCUUCCCGGGGAAGUGACCGAACUGCUCUCCUUCCUAAAAACAGCUCCCCUGCGCUCGUGGCUCGCUUUUUGGAAACCCUUCCCUCUCCCUUUAAUACUUAUAAACCCCCCACCGUGCACUUAUUGAAAAGACUUCCCAAUCAAAUUUUUUUUUGAUUGACCUAUUUGCCUGAUUAUUUUGACUGAACUUACAAAAAAAUAAAAUUUAAAUACAACUUUCAACAACGGAUCUCUUGGCUCUC